CAGGAAUAUGGCAGAGAUGUCAUAGCCGCAAGGUCUGUAUACAGGUGGUGCAUGGUUGUCGUCAGCUCGUGUCGUGAGAUGUUGGGUUAAGUCCCGCAACGAGCGCAACCCUCGUUCUGUGUUGCCAGCAUUUAGUUGGGGACUCACAGGAGACUGCCGGGGUUAACUCGGAGGAAGGUGGGGAUGACGUCAAAUCAUCAUGCCCCUUAUGUCUUGGGCUGCACGCAUGCUACAAUGGCUGGUACAAACGGCUGCAAUACCGCAAGGUGGAGCGAAUCCGAUAAAGCCAGUCUCAGUUCGGAUUGGGGUCUGCAACUCGACCCCAUGAAGUCGGAGUUGCUAGUAAUCGUAGAUCAGCAACGCUACGGUGAAUACGUUCCCGGGGCUUGUACACACCGCCCGUCACGUCACGAAAGUCGGUAACACCCGAAGUCAGU
rnacentral:rRNA from 1 species